rnacentral:tRNA from 1 species
GGGCGUAUAGCUCAGCGGUAGAGCACUUGGCUUACAACCAAGCGGUCACAGGUUCGAUCCCUGUUGCGCCCA